rnacentral:rRNA from 1 species
UACCGGCAGCACGAGUGAUGACCGCUCUUAUUGGGCCUAAAGCGUCCGUAGCUGGCCACGCAAGUCUAUCGGGAAAUCCGCGCGCUCAACGCGCGGGCGUCCGGUGGAAACUGUGUGGCUUGGGACCGGAAGAUCCAGAGGGUACGUCCGGGGUAGGAGUGAAAUCCCGUAAUCCUGGACGGACCACCGGUGGCGAAAGCGCUCUGGAAAGACGGAUCCGACGGUGAGGGACGAAAGCUCGGGUCACGAACCGG